rnacentral:rRNA from 1 species
GACGAACCGUGCAAACGUUAUUCGGAAUCACUGGGCUUAAAGGGUGCGUAGGCGGGCUCGUAAGUCAGGGGUGAAAGCCCACGGCCCAACCGUGGAAGUGCCUCUGAUACUGCGAGCCUCGAGGGGGAUAGGGGCGUGCGGAACUCAGGGUGGAGCGGUGAAAUGCGUAGAUAUCCUGAGGAACACCGGUGGCGAAAGCGGCGCGCUGGAUCCCUACUGACGCUGAGACACGAAAGCGUGGGUAGCAAACAGG